GCAAAGUUCAGUACCGGUCAGCGAUGCAGGUCAUAGAACCUCAGCUAUGUGGUUAUUACAGCACUUCAUAGCUAAUAUUUUGGAUAGAGUCACUGUGAAGUGAGCAAACUCUUCUGUCACAUGCUCCUGCCACCAUGCUAUGCUUAGGCUGAAACCUGCCCCAUCACAGGCCUACAGCAAUGGAGCCAGCUGAUGAUGGACUGAGACCCAUGAAAAUGAAUAUCAAGUCUUCUCAGAGCUGACUGGUCACGUCCAGAAUGAGAUGCUUCUUGAGAAAGCUCUGGAUCUCCUUCCACGAAUGCUCCUG